UGAGGAAUAUUGGUCAAUGGUCGAGAGACUGAACCAGCCAAGUCGCGUGAAGGAUGACUGCCCUAUGGGUUGUAAACUUCUUUUACAAGGGAAUAAAAUGAGAUACGUGUAUUUUAUUGCAUGUACCUUGUGAAUAAGCAUCGGCUAACUCCGUGCCAGCAGCCGCGGUAAUACGGAGGAUGCGAGCGUUAUCCGGAUUUAUUGGGUUUAAAGGGUGCGUAGGUGGGCUGUUAAGUCAGCGGUGAAAGUUUGUCGCUUAACGAUAAAAUUGCCGUUGAAACUGGUAGUCUUGAGUAUAGAUGAAGUAGGCGGAAUGCGUGGUGUAGCGGUGAAAUGCAUAGAGAUCACGCAGAACUCCGAUUGCGAAGGCAGCUUACUAAGGUAUAACUGACACUGAAGCACGAAAGCGUGGGUAUCAAACAG
rnacentral:rRNA from 1 species